rnacentral:rRNA from 1 species
AGUGAACGCUGGCGGUAGGCCUAACACAUGCAAGUCGAACGGCAGCACAGUAAGAGCUUGCUCUUACGGGUGGCGAGUGGCGGACGGGUGAGGAAUACAUCGGAAUCUACUUUUUCGUGGGGGAUAACGUAGGGAAACUUACGCUAAUACCGCAUACGACCUACGGGUGAAAGCAGGGGAUCUUCGGACCUUGCGCGAUUGAAUGAGCCGAUGUCGGAUUAGCUAGUUGGCGGGGUAAAGGCCCACCAAGGCGACGAUCCGUAGCUGGUCUGAGAGGAGGACCAGCCACACUGGAACUGAGACACGGCCCAGACUCCUACGGGAGGCAGCAGUGGGGAAUUUUGGACAAGGGGCGAAAGCCUGAUCCAGCCAUGCCGCGUGGGUAAAGAAGGCCUUCGGGUUGUAAAGCCUUUUUGUGGGGAAAGAAAAGCAUGGCUUUAAUACCGUGGUGUUCUGACGGUACCAAAAGAAUAAGCACCGGCUAACUUCGUG